rnacentral:lncRNA from 1 species
UCCGCCGGCGCCGUACAACAGGGCAGCAGCUGUAGCUCGGUCUUCAGCCGGCAGCCGCGGAUCCAUCUCAGUAGCGAUCCCCCGGCAGCAGGUCGACGCGGGGCUUGGUUGCCGGCUUGGUCUACAAGUGAAAUCUGGUGACUUCUAACCUUUGCUUAUUUCAUUCUUCAUUCUGCAUUCUUUCAUUCUUCGUAUUAUACUAGUAAUUGAGUAUAGUUUGGUUGCUGGAAUAUUUCCUUGAAUUGGUGUGAGCCUUGUAUUAAUUGCUGCUGCUUUACUAUUACCAUCGUUUAUGUCUUUAUAUCUUUAUAUUAUCUUUAUAUUCUCUUAUACUUUCGCCUAGUUGUGGCUGUGGGCAGUAAUGGGUGGAUAGGGUCAUGUCCAAGGGGGUUGGGGCGGGGGAUGAGGAAAGGGCGGGAGGGGGAGGGAGGCCAAGGUUUGGCCGCGGGGGAAGUAGUGGAGGGCGUGCGGGUAGUGAAGGUAGGCUGAGGGUUGGGUCUUGG